GCUUUCACUUAACAUUUUAAAUCUUAAACAUAACUAAGUCUUAAUACAUUUUAAGCCAGAGAUCAUACAGAUUAAGUCUCAGUCUCCAACGCAGCCCAAGAGAGGGGAACGAACUUGCGCAUAAAGUUGCCAAAGUCAAGAAUCUAGAUCAACUUCCCAGCAAUUUGUAUCUUCCCCCGCCGAAUUCCGUCGAAGGCAUCAUCAGGAAGGAACAACGCAUCACAAGGAGCCGCAGGCAGCAUCACCAGUCUCACCGUACCGAGCGUCAAUGAAGACGUCUAGCUCCACGGCGCCUUAUCAAUCAGCGGCAACACCUAUGCAGCGCUCUAGCAUCGAUCGUUGUCCUCUCCGGUCCUAGCUUGCAGCUGAUGCUAUCAAAGCAACCUUUCCACUUUCAGGAUGGGUAGCCAUUGAGACCGCCUCGAACAUUUUGGGUAGCAACGGCGGAUGGGUUCCAUGUUGGAACUUGGAAGCCGGUACCUUCCUCAGCCUCAGCGAUUUCUAUCUCAAUGGAAGCAUCAUCCUCGCCAUAUCAACUUGUUCAAAAGCGCCUUAUUGUUUCCUCCUUCGCUGUUUUGUUUUGUUUUUUGUUAUUAGGUGGGUAUUAAUUUCAAAGCACGGGAUGCUUGUAGCCUUAGGAUGUAAUCUCGGGUUGGGAAGGGUGUUAUUGUUUUCGGUGUGGGUCGGGUCCUCGGGCCCAAGCCCAUACAAAAAAAAAAGCUCCGCAUAUUGGGGAUUAGGGGUUUUAAUUCCACCCAACAAACAGAACUAGGGUUUUAACGCCUCCCCUAUAUAACCUCUUUGGUAUCAUCACCACCAAUCUCAGUGUUGUUAUAGUUGUGCAGUUUGCAAGGCCAAGAGGUUCUAAGCUCAGCUUAGAAGAAUACUAUGGAGAUGAAUUAAGAAAUAACAUUCUAAUGGACUAGAACAGAAGCAAAGAGGAGGCAAACCUUGCUGGACCACUUAAGGAUUAAAGGCUGGAUAUUGACAUUUUUUUUAGAUAUAGGUAAUUAGGUAUCUGAAUGUGAAGGGGCUUAUUCAAUUAUAUUGUAAUCGUCACGAUUAAGGUUUUUUGUUUUGGCUGUUGGUUUGCUAUUUAUUACCAUCACUGUAUAAGAAUAUGUAUACAUUUCCUAUAAUAAAAUGUCAAUUUGGUUGCAAUUUUGAAUAUGGA